rnacentral:rRNA from 1 species
UACGUAGGGGGCAAGCGUUGUCCGGAAUCAUUGGGCGUAAAGAGCGUGUAGGCGGCCAGAUAAGUCCGCUGUGAAAUCUCGAGGCUCAACUUCGAGCUGUCGGUGGAAACUGUCUGGCUAGAGUCCGGAAGAGGAGAAUGGAAUUCCUGGUGUAGCGGUGAAAUGCGCAGAUAUCAGGAGGAACACCAAUUGCGAAGGCAGCUCGCUGGGACGUAACUGACGCUGAUGCGCGAAAGCGUGGGGAGCAAACAGG